rnacentral:tRNA from 1 species
GCCCGGAUGGCGGAAUGGGUAGACGCGACGGUCUCAAACACCGUUGGAGCAAUCCGUCCCGGUUCGACCCCGGGUCCGGGUA